ensembl:lncRNA
UUUUUAUUGGUCAUUUGGGUAUUCACGCUGUAUAGUCAAUAGUGUUUGGCUGCAGGUAUGUAAAAGACGUAUAUACACGGGACCUGGUGAGAGACAUGUGAGAAAGUGCUGGAAGUUUUUUUUCUCUUCGUGCUGGACUCGUGUGGAGCGCGGAACGCUGGCAAGUUGAGAAGAAAAAAGAACGCUAGAAAGUGCGAGUAAAGCCGAUUAAACUGAGCGGGAAGCUCAGAGAAGAGGACCACGGACUCGGGAUGUUUGUGAGCCGCGAGACUGAGUGAGAAACCCGACUGACGGAGCGGGAGAGAAGGAGCGGAAGCCGUGAACGGAGGUAGCCGAGAUAGUUAGCCACGGUGGGCGUAUGCUGGGCGGAACUGUCCUUUAAUCGCACCGCACCUGAUCAUCCGGACCAAAGUCUUUCCACGCUGUCAAUUUUUUGCAAGUGUUCGUUCAGAGCACUCAAUGUCCGUUCAGCGCACUCAAUGUUUUGCAAGACCAAAACAGGCCUGCAACGUUUUUUUCUUCGUUCAAAAUGUUACCGUGCACCUUAGUGGUAUCCACCUGAACUACACCGAACCCAAGCACCCCCAUUCUCACGUAAGUAACUCACAGAGUGGUUGUACGGGUGCUACAAGUACAUAUUUAAUAAUUUCCAUGAAUGGUACUGUAUACUGUAUGUAUUUUUGUUUAUCCUCCUGCAGAUUCCAAAACAUAUUUCUAUGAAUUACAAGAUGAAAAUGAAACAGGUUCUUCCAGUGAAGAAUCUCAAGCCAGCAGUGGUCAAAGUGUAUGAUUACUACCAGACAAGUAAGAUCUUAUUUUAACAUUCAGGGAAAAAAAAAAAAAAUGUUAAGGUAUACCGUUUAAUACCAUUUUGAUUAUAUAAAUUACAAAGCAUGUAAUUCAUAAACUAUUUACUUUUAAUAUAUUAUCUUGUCUUUUGUGUUGUUGACACAAAGCCAUACAGAAUUAAUUUACCAUCAGUUAGCAUGCUCACUUAGCAUGCUCACUUAGCAUGCACACUUUAUUAAUAAAUCAUCAACAAACAUUAUAUAAUGUUUAACU